UUGGUGUAGAGACCUGUGACGGAAGAGGGCGAGACCGGGACUGGGACCGGGACUGGGACCCAGCCCUCACCACUACCCCCACUGUCGGUGCUGGGACGGCAGCAGGCUGUGCAGGCACAUGUCUGACUUUUCGGCAGCUUCCUGGACCAGAAGCUGUGUUUCUACAGUGCGUUGAAUGUAAUACAAUCUCAUCUGGAAUGUUCCGGAAUGCUGGAAGGUAUGGAGGAGGAAGUAUGCGCGUGAGGGGAACAUGAUGGAAGCAGCGCACAACAGACCGGAGAACGGCCCGCUGAAACUCCAUCAUCAUGUUGUCGGUGGCGACGCUGAGCGGACGCCGGCCCUGUUCAUGCUGCCUUCGCUCGGAGUGGUCCAUGUCAGGAGAAGGCAUCGAGCUGUAGUUGGAGUUGUGGUUGGUGUGGAUCGGGCUGCCAUAGCUACCUGUCAGGUUGAACUCGAUGUCUGCAGGAGGGGAGAGGAGGAUGGAUGAAGAGCAGAACGGGUUGACCCUGGACGCUCAGGAUCGCAUCUCCAACGUGACCAUACCACGACCCGCGUGGAAAUGGUCACCGCAGUUCGGCUAGGCUACACUUACGCAAACAAGGCAGUGACUGAACAGAGACUCAAUCAACAACUGGAUCCAAUGAUGCCUGAGGAAGGUACGGUAAUAUGCCUGCCCACAUUGUUAUCGUGUGUGUGUGUGUGUGUGUGUGUGUGUG